GCUCUGUGAUGAACCCCAUGCGUGUCAGCUGAGCCCUGGCUUCCCUGUCCUCUCAGCCCAAGCCCAGGGAGUGUUCUACUUCCUGGGGCUGUUGAUUGGCCUCCAGGGCAGCCCUGGGCAAAGGAUCAAUCUCUGUAUUCUGAGAGC
ensembl:snoRNA SNORD10 small nucleolar RNA, C/D box 10